UGGGGAAUAUUGCACAAUGGGGGAAACCCUGAUGCAGCCAUGCCGCGUGUGUGAAGAAGGCCUUCGGGUUGUAAAGCACUUUCAGUAGGGAGGAAAGGUUGACGGUUAAUACCCGUUAGCUGUGACGUUACCUACAGAAGAAGGACCGGCUAACUCCGUGCCAGCAGCCGCGGUAAUACGGAGGGUCCGAGCGUUAAUCGGAAUUACUGGGCGUAAAGCGUGCGCAGGCGGUUUGUUAAGCGAGAUGUGAAAGCCCCGGGCUCAACCUGGGAAUUGCAUUUUGAACUGGCAAACUAGAGUCUUGUAGAGGGGGGUAGAAUUUCAGGUGUAGCGGUGAAAUGCGUAGAGAUCUGAAGGAAUACCGGUGGCGAAGGCGGCCCCCUGGACAAAGACUGACGCUCAUGCACGAAAGCGUGGGGAGCAAACAGGAUUAGAUACCCUGGUAGUCCACGCCGUAAACGAUGUCUACUCGGAGUUUGGUGUCUUGAACACUGGGCUCUCAAGCUAACGCAUUAAGUAGACCGCCUGGGGAG
rnacentral:rRNA from 1 species